ACCUCUGCCUCUCGUCAGCUGUCCGUGGAGGGGCUCCUAGGUGACCAAUCAGAAAUGCUCCUCGAAACCGCAAGUGCGGGGGAAAGACAGAAAUAAGGGGACCGACCAAUAAUUAGCUUCUGUUCUUACAGUCCUCCUGUUCCCCGCCCCGCCCUUGCCCCCUAACGCCUAGUGACUGAUAUUCCAGUCAAUUAGAAGAAUCCUGACUUGGCCAAUAGGCGUGAGGAAUGACUGUUCUCUGCGCCUGGGGUCCUAGCAACAGCUGCUUCUCAGCCAAUAGAGGGACGGGAGACUGUUGGGCGCUAUCCGUAGUUGGCCCCAGGGACCUCGCCUCGUCUCCUUCCUUUCUCCCCACGUCAGGGAUUUAUCUAAUAAUUAACUGAGAAUCCCGCGCUGUGUUUAGUACCCCAUUUGAGACACUGACGAUAAUCACUCCCAGCCAAUCCAUUCAUCAAAAAAGCAUUUAUUAAAGCACGCUACUCUAUGUAAGGUUCCAGGGAUUCAACACCGGUGUCUGUCCUCGAGAAACUUACAGUCUAGUUGGGGCUGAAAAGCAUUUAUGCCGCGUACAUGAACAGAGGAUCCUGUAUGAGGGAGAGACCAGACUCAAAAGUGCUCUAUUUGAGACCUGUCGAAUCUAGCAUAAACGUGAUCCCCAAGGCGUCCUACUCGUCCCAUCCACAAUACAUCGUGACCUUUGAAUAUUCCUUUUAGGCAGUCAAUCGGUUGAUAACUUUCUGAAGUUGGUGUAGAAGGGAAACAAAGUAAUAGCAAAAAGCCAAGUGAAUUGCUAGUUAAGGGAGCUGUGAACUGGGAGUCUUGUAACUGCUAAGUCAUAGGAGGAUGACUGCAAGGUCAGGAGGAGUCAGAGAAGAGAGAGAAACCAACACACUAUACUUAAUCCAUUCCUGCCAUAGGAAAAUAGGCAUGCCAGUGAAUCUGUGAUCUCCAUGUUCCCUCCAGUGACGUGGAUUACUAUCUGUGUCUGGUUUAAGUGACUUCGCAGGGUCACACAAGCUAGGAAGUGUCUGAAUCCGGAUUUGAACUCAGGCUAAUACAACUAGGGAUUGGUAAGGGUGCCAGGAAGACAAGCUCACUCACCUCCAGGCACUGCUCGAGUUCCAGCUGGAGGUUCUGUAUUGAAAGUUAUGCUGUUGUCCUAAGGAGGAACAGACAGGCCUGUUUAUCUAGCCUUGGAGGCCUCUGACCUGUAGCAACUUCUGGAGUCGGAGAGCAUCCCAGUCUCGAAGAUAGAAGAGACAGUCUCGAGGAUGAUGGCCAUGCAGGGAUUUCUUCACCCGGCAGUUGGGAUCUGGACAUUUCUGGAGGAAACCCAACCAGGGGAAAGAGAAUACAUGGCCAAUCCCUGGGCCUGAUAUUCAGGGUCAUUGGCACGUUUCCAGCUUUGAAAAUCUUCACAGCUCCGGCCCUGAUGCUGUUCUUCCCACUACAGGAGGAAUACCAAAGACUUCAGAAGGAGACCUCAAGUUCCAAACAAUCCCAUGACCCUAUUCUUCCUACACCCCACCUGAAUCUUUCAAAUCUACUCCACUGUUCCAGCCUUUUCUCCCAGUUCCCACCUAAUCCACUUACACCUCCACCCUGAUUCAUUCCCUCUUACCUGACGCUUACAGCGAACACAGAAAGUCUGGUGACACUGGGGACAUGUGGCUUCUAACUGUUCUCGCUCAUAGAUAAAGCCAAAGGAACACUG